rnacentral:rRNA from 1 species
CCUACGGGCGGCAGCAGUGAGGAAUAUUGGUCAAUGGACGAGAGUCUGAACCAGCCAAGUAGCGUGAAGGAUGACUGCCCUCUGGGUUGUAAACCUCUUUUAUAUGGGAAUAAAGUGUUCCACGUGUGGGAUUUUGUAUGUACCAUAUGAAUAAGGAUCGGCUAAUUCCGUGCCAGCAGCCGCGGUAAUACGGAGGGUCCGGGCGUUAUCCGGAUUUAUUGGGUUUAAAGGGUGCGUAGGCGGAUUGUUAAGCCUGUUGUGAAAGUUUGUGGCUCAACCAUAAAAGUGCAGUUGAAACUGGAAGUCGUGAGUACAGUAGAGGUGGGCGGAAUUCGUGGUGUAGCGGUGAAAUGCUUAGAUAUCACGAAGAACUCCGAUUGCGAAGGCAGCAUACCGGCGCCUUACUGACGCUGAGGCACGAAAGCGUGGGUAUCGAACAGGAUUAGAUACCCGAGUAGUC